CCGGAUUGGGAAGGCCAGCAUCCAAAGCCCACUUACUGCCACUGAAGCACGAAAAGCGUGGGUAUCAAAACAGGAUUAGAUACCCUGGUAUUCCCCGCCGUAAAACGAUGAUUUAUAGGAGUUUGCGAUAUACUGUAAGUUCUUCAGCGAAAGCGUUAAGUAAUCCACCUGGGGAGGUACGUUCGCAAGAAUGAAACUCAAAGGAAUUGACGGGGGCCCGCACAAGCGGAGGAACAUGUGGUUUAAUUCGAUGAUACGCGAGGAACCUUACCCGGGUUUGAACGCAUUAAGACUAUAGGUGAAAGCUUAUAUUCCGUAAGGACUUUUUGCGAGGUGCUGCAUGGUUGUCGUCAGCUCGUGCCGUGAGGUGUCGGCUUAAGUGCCAUAACGAGCGCAACCCUGAUUGUCAGUUGCUAGCAGGUCAUGCUGAGGACUCUGACGAGACUGCCGGCGUAAGCUGUGAGGAAGGUUGGGAUGACGUCAAAUCAGCACGACCCUCACAUCCGGGGCGACACACGUGUUACAAUGGUGAGGACAAAGGGCUGCUCCCUGGCGACAGGUUGCUAAUCUCUAAACCUCAUCUCAGUUCGGAUCGAAGUCUGCAACUCGACUUCGUGAAGCUGGAUUCGCUAGUAAUCGCGCAUCAGCCACGGCGCGGUGAAUACGUUCCCGGGCCUUGUACACACCGCCCGUCAAG
rnacentral:rRNA from 1 species